rnacentral:rRNA from 1 species
UACGUAGGUGGCAAGCGUUGUCCGGAUUUACUGGGCGUAAAGAGCGCGCAGGCGGUCGAUCAAGUCGCGUGUGAAAGCCCCCCGGCUCAACUGGGGAGGGUCACGCGAUACUGAUCGACUCGAAGGCAGGAGAGGGUAGUGGAAUUCCCGGUGUAGUGGUGAAAUGCGUAGAUAUCGGGAGGAACACCAGUGGCGAAGGCGGUGCUCUGGGCCGGUACUGACGCUGAGGAGCGAAAGCGUGGGGAGCAAACAGG